AAGAAAGAAGGAGAAGAGAAGAAGGGAAAGAAAAGAUCAUUUAAAAAAGAGAAGAUGGAGAAGACUAGUUUUCUUUUUGUGUUCUUUCUUUGUCUGUUUUCUGUUA
rnacentral:ribozyme from 13 species